UGUAAAUAUAUACUUUUAUUUGAAAAUUGAUACAAUCUCAAAUAAACAUACUUGCAUACAGAUGUGCUAGAGUUUGUCUUGGAAUAGGAAGAGGUUGUUCGUAGCAGCAACGGCUACUACAUUUUCAGAUGGAUGCCAUGCGAGAAAAAACUUCUAUUGGUUGGAUCUUCCUGUUCUUCAAAGAGUUUACUGUGUUGGUCGCAAAGUGCAGCAGAUCUCAUGUCACAAAGUCUAAUUGUUCCUUUGCUACUACUAUAUACCAGAACGUUACAUUCUGCUGGAUGAAACUCUGCAGCAGUUAUAACUUCUGUUAAUUCCUCCAUAUUAGUUGGCUUAAUAUCUACUAUAUCUGUAUACAAUGGUGCCAAAGAUUAAUUCUAAGGUCAUCAGCACUGAGGUAUGUUUCCUGGUCACUGUUGACGCUUAUACUGUUUAUAUGAUAAGUGUGCGCAUUGGCAAAUAUUCUUCUCGGCGACGCUUCCACCAUCAACUCCAUUGGUUUUAUAGAUGGUACCUGAGCAAUUAAAUGGCCAGUGAUUUCAGGUAAUCGAAUUCAGGUUCAUGACUCUGGAAGGUGCUAUAUACAUUGUAUUCACCCCUCCGUGGUAUACUGUUUUUACUCUACACAAAUGAUAACAUUUUCUUAUUAUUGCACGAUAUCUGAUUCAAAAUAAAAAAACCUAUUCAAAAUGAUUGUUCUUUACAUUGUGCUCGAUGAUUAUCUUUAGAAAGUUUCUAAAGAUAGAGAAAUGUAGCAUGCUGUAUACAUAAGGUUGGCAAUAAUCCAAUAGUAAGGUAUAUAAUCAUUUUUAUUUAAAGGACGCAUUUCUCUUGUUUAAAAGUGCAAAGACUAUCAUGCUAAUGUAUAUUCUAUGUCUGUAUGCAUGUGCUGAUAAUUAAUUUUUAUUGAUUUAAUUUAUCAAUAAAAAUAUUAGUUAUCUC